UGAAUUAUGUCCAACCAGAGUCAUCGCAUGUAUUGAUAGGCCGGCACGGCGAGACUCAGGCUCAGACCGUCAACGCUGCUCAGAAAAGGGUGCGAAAUUCAGAACGUAUACACACUUAACAGAAAUGCAAAAUUUUAACAAAAAUUAACAGCGGCAGGUAGGCUAUAUAAACGAGGUAAUUUCCACGAGGCCCUGGUCAAAUUAUAGCUCGGUGGUCUGAUGUCAGUACAUAUUUUACUUACCUAC